UUGGACCUCCAAAAAAUCAACUUAAAGUCACCCAAAUGCAAAUAAAAUCUGUCACCUAUCAAUCUCUGGAAAUUCAGUUAAAUCAUGUUUUUCCCAAACUUUGAGCCCCAGUAACUUCAAAUAUGUAGAUUUUUAGGCCGAUCACCUUUACUGAAAGUUGUAGGUGGAUGAUUUAUAUACAACUUUGGUAUACAUUAUAUGUAUAGGUUAUGCAAGAAUUUUGGGAGAAUUCAUCAGUCGAACAUGGUCAAUUC
rnacentral:lncRNA from 1 species